rnacentral:rRNA from 1 species
AGCGUAGACGGCAAGGCAAGUCUGAUGUGAAAUCCCCGAGCUUAACUUGGGAAUUGCAUUCGAUACUGGUUGGCUAGAGUAUGGGAGAGGAUGGUAGAAUUCCAGGUGUAGCGGUGAAAUGCGUAGAGAUCUGGAGGAAUACCGAUGGCGAAGGCAGCCAUCUGGCCUAAUACUGACACUGAGGUGCGAAAAGCAUGGGGAGCAAACA